AUUGAACGCUGGCGGCAGGCCUAACACUUGCAAGUCGAGCGGAUGAAGGGAGCUUGCUCCUGGAUUCAGCUGCGGACGGGUGAGUAAUGCCUAGGAAUCUGCCUGGUAGUGGGGGAUAACGUCCGGAAACGGGCGCUAAUACCGCAUACGUCCUGAGGGAGAAAGUGGGGGUUCUUCGGACCUCACGCUAUCAGAUGAGCCUAGUUCGGAUUAGCUAGUUGGUGGGGUAAAGGCCUACCAAGGCGACGAUCCGUAACUGGUCUGAGAGGAUGAUCAGUCACACUGGAACUGAGACACGGUCCAGACUCCUACGGGAGGAAGCAGUGGGGAAUAUUGGACAAUGGGCGAAAGCCUGAUCCAGCCAUGCCGCGUGUGUGAAGAAGGUCUUCGGAUUGUAAAGCACUUUAAGUUGGGAGGAAGGGCAGUAAGUUAAUACCUUGAUGUUUUGACGUUACCAACAGAAUAAGCAACGGCUAACUUCGUG
rnacentral:rRNA from 1 species